rnacentral:tRNA from 5 species
GCGGGCGUAGCUCAAUGGUAGAGCACCAGUCUUCCAAACUGGCUACGCGGGUUCGAUUCCCGUCGCCCGCUCCG